rnacentral:rRNA from 1 species
CGGAAUCUGCCUAUUUGUGGGGGAUUACGUAGGGAAACUUACGCUAAUACCGCAUACGACCUACGGGUGAAAGCGGAGGACCUUCGGGCUUCGCGCAGAUAGAUGAGCCGAUGUCGGAUUAGCUAGUUGGCGGGGUAAAGGCCCACCAAGGCGACGAUCCGUAGCUGGUCUGAGAGGAUGAUCAGCCACACUGGAACUGAGACACGGUCCAGACUCCUACGGGAGGCAGCAGUGGGGAAUAUUGGACAAUGGGCGCAAGCCUGAUCCAGCCAUGCCGCGUGGGUGAAGAAGGCCUUCGGGUUGUAAAGCCCUUUUGUUGGGAAAGAAAAGCAGUCGGUUAAUACCCGAUUGUUCUGACGGUACCCAAAGAAUAAGCACCGGCUAACUUCGUGCCAGCAGCCACGGUAAUACGAAGGGUGCAAGCGUUACUCGGAAUUACUGGGCGUAAAGCGUGCGUAGGUGGUUUGUUAAGUCUGAUGUGAAAGCCCUGGGCUCAACCUGGGAAUUGCAUUGGAUACUGGCAGGCUAGAGUGCGGUAGAGGGUAGUGGAAUUCCCGGU